AGGGUGACGUAGGUGGUGCAUGGUUGUCGUCAGCUCGUGUCGUGAGAUGUUGGGUUAAGUCCCGCAACGAGCGCAACCUUCGCCUCUAGUUGCCAGCAUUCGGUUGGGCACUCUAGAGGGACUGCCGGCGACAAGUCGGAGGAAGUGGGAUGACGUCAAAUCAUCAUGCCCUUAUGACCUGGGCUACACACGUGCUACAAUGGGCGGUACAAAGGGCUGCGAACCCGCGAGGGGGAGCGAAUCCCAAAAAGCCGCUCUCAGUUCGGAUUGCAGGCUGCAACUCGCCUGCAUGAAGCCGGAAUCGCUAGUAAUCGCGGAUCAGCAUGCCGCGGUGAAUACGUUCCCGGGCCUU
rnacentral:rRNA from 1 species